UGGGGAAUAUUGGACAAUGGGCGAAAGCCUGAUCCAGCCAUGCCGCGUGUGUGAAGAAGGUCUUCGGAUUGUAAAGCACUUUAAGUUGGGAGGAAGGGCAGUAAGCGAAUACCUUGCUGUUUUGACGUUACCGACAGAAUAAGCACCGGCUAACUCUGUGCCAGCAGCCGCGGUAAUACAGAGGGUGCAAGCGUUAAUCGGAAUUACUGGGCGUAAAGCGCGCGUAGGUGGUUCGUUAAGUUGAAUGUGAAAGCCCCGGGCUCAACCUGGGAACUGCAUCCAAAACUGGCGAGCGAGAGUAGGGCAGAGGGUGGUGGAAUUUCCUGUGUAGCGGUGAAAUGCGUAGAUAUAGGAAGGAACACCAGUGGCGAAUGCGACCACCUGAGCUCAUACUGACACUGAGGUGCGAAAGCGUGGGGAGCAAACAGG
rnacentral:rRNA from 1 species